CUUACCUCUUAUAGUUAGCCUCUGUUAGCUCACGGUUGUGAUGCUAACGGACUUAUUCCCAUGACACUGAACCAUUUCUGUAAAGUAAAUAUUCAACAGAAGCGUGUCAAUUACAUGUAAGAAAGUGUCAGGAAAAGUUGUAUGUAUUAUUUGUGUAAUUUUAGGGACUAAACUUACCUGAAAGCAGUAAAAACAACACUAACAGAGGCUAACUAUAAGAGCAGAGUUGGAGUGGACCUCUUGUUGAAGAACUUCUCCAGGCACUAUGAACCAUCUGACUAAUGCUGUCAUGAAAAGGCAACUGCUGGACACCUGGGACAGGCCAUCAAUUCCAAGUUGGCGGAACUGAGGUUUCAACUGAAGAAAAAGGAGACCUGUUAGAGUUUAGAGUUGUCUAAUAGAGAGGGUGAAGGAAGAACAUCCAAACCCUGCCCCUGCUUCCUUCAAGAUUUUUUAUGGAUUUAUAUAAUGGUGUUUUUUCGUAAAGUAAAGACAGUGGCAAAAUUAACAUGACACUACUUUGAUGUUUUGUUCUACAAAUUAAACCACACACACACUCCAAAAACACCAAUUUUGAUACAAUUUACAUUUGCAAGAAAAAAAAAAUCAAAGUAUUGUCAUGUUAAUUUUGCCACUGCCUUUACUUUACGAAAAAACACCAUUAUAUAAAUCCAUAAAAUCUUGAAGAAAUCAGGGGCAGGG
ensembl:lncRNA